GCUGUUGAGGCUGCGCAGCCAGGAGCUGAUGGUCGGGUGGCUGCGCGCCUUCCGCAGGUCCCCCACGUUCUGGCCCAGCAGUGUGGUCACAUUGU
rnacentral:pre_miRNA from 10 species